ensembl:lncRNA
UCCCAGACCAAAAGUCAAGACUCCUCUUUCCUAAUGAAAAGUGCCACUAAGGAACAUACAGGAAACUACAGUUGUCUGUCCUCCAGAACAGAACAGAAUGUCAGUGAGGUGAAAGGAGAUGGAGAGAAUUCCAUCUUCAUCCAAGUGAUUGAUAGAGUAUACCCAGCAGUGAUAGCUGGUGAAACAUCUGUGAGAUCAGGGACAGAUGUGGAUUUCAACUGCACCUCAGAAGAUGCCCCAGACACAGGCCUCCUUUUGGCAUUCCUCUGGAGGAAUCAAACCAUCGUUGACAUUGAAAUGUGGAAUUCUCAGCAGAAACAGGCUAGUUUCCAUCUAAUAGGAGUCCAGGAGAGAGACUCGGGCAACUAUAGCUGUGUGGUAUCAGAGCGACCGCUUGCUGCAACAGAGUUGGACAUGUGUGGAGGGAAUUCAGUCUUCCUGCAGGUUUACGGGAAACCAAAUGAAGAGUCACCUGCCGCCCCAUCCGGUUGCAUAAUGAUGGCCGCUCAGUUUCUGCUAAUCCCCCUGCUCCUUCUUGCGCUGCUGAUUUUACUGAUGUGGAAGAAAGGGACAUUCAGGCGAUGGAAAUCUCCACAGAGCACAACUGAGCAGCAUUGUCUAGAUUUGGCUAACACAGGACUGCCUGCACAUGGACGAUCACUUGAGGCAACAAGUGAAGAGCCUGCUGUGGACAGGACUGAUACGGGGAUGUGUGACAGACAACAAAAUCUCAAUCAAGGAGAGGACAUGGGCCCCACUGAAUGGAGUGAUAAUUCUGCCGAUGAUUCUGACGACUAUGUCAACGAUACCUAUCAGGACGGAGCCCCUGAUGAAGGAGCCGCAAGACCUUAUGCCACAGUGUCGAAGAAAAGAAAGAAAAAGAAACCAGAGCCACUGUAUUCAAUUGUUCUUCAGUAGUUUUUGUUUCUAUUCUGAAAAUGCAGUGUAACAGUUUGUUAUCAUGUUAUUUGAAAGCUCCUUGAUCAAUGCGAACUUUGUUGUGUAAUGAUUUGCCAUGAUUUCUCAUUUUCACCACCCGAACAUAUGAAUGUGUGAAUACGCAAUAAAUCAUACAAGUGCAAUUUACAUGUUAAUUUGAUUAUAUGUUAAUACUUUAGAUGAAAUGAUGAUUCAGUGGAUUAGGCAGAGGUACUCUGUAUUUUAUACACAUCUGUGCUUCUCACAUACCGGCGAGGUCAGGAUGUUGACCCAGUUGAGUUUGGAAUUACGGGCACAGGACCUCAAGCCUAAGGGAUGUGGGAUUGGUGCACUGACUGACAAACACACAUGUUUAUAAAACUUCUCUUGUUUGUAUAUUAAUUAAACAACACAUGAAUCUUAUGAUGAUUAUGCUCUGGGUCAAUUUUUAAUAAAUGUAUUCAGUUGGGAAAAAGGCAAUAGUGUUUCAUUUCUGAAGAUGAUGCUAUCUCUGAAAGGUAAAUGGG